rnacentral:rRNA from 1 species
UACGUAGGGUGCAAGCGUUAAUCGGAAUUACUGGGCGUAAAGCGUGCGCAGGCGGUUCGGAAAGAGAGGUGUGAAAUCCCCGGGCUUAACCUGGGAACUGCACUUGUGACUGCACAGCUGGAGUACGGCAGAGGGGGAUGGAAUUCCGCGUGUAGCAGUGAAAUGCGUAGAUAUGCGGAGGAACACCGAUGGCGAAGGCAGUCCCCUGGGCCUGUACUGACGCUCAUGCACGAAAGCGUGGGGAGCAAACAGG